AAACCAGCACCUCAAGUGGUCAGGAGGAUUAUUGGGCCUAAAGCAUCCGUAGCCUGCUCUGUAAGUUUCCGGUUAAAUUCAUUCGCUUAACUGAUGUGCCGCCGGAAAAACUGCAAAGCUAGGGAGUGGGAGAGGUAGACGGUACUCGGCAGGAAGGGGUAAAAUCCUUUGAUCUAUUGAUGACCACCAGUGGCGAAGGCGGUCUACCAGAACACGUUCGACGGUGAGGGAUGAAAGCUGGGGGAGCAAACCGGAUUAGAAACCCUGGUAGUCC
rnacentral:rRNA from 1 species